rnacentral:rRNA from 1 species
UACAGAGGGUGCGAGCGUUGUCCGGAAUUACUGGGCGUAAAGAGCUCGUAGGUGGUUUGUCGCGUUGUUCGUGAAAACUCACAGCUCAACUGUGGGCGUGCGGGCGAUACGGGCAGACUAGAGUACUGCAGGGGAGACUGGAAUUCCUGGUGUAGCGGUGGAAUGCGCAGAUAUCAGGAGGAACACCGGUGGCGAAGGCGGGUCUCUGGGCAGUAACUGACGCUGAGGAGCGAAAGCGUGGGGAGCGAACAGG